ACACACACACACACACACACACACGCACAUACAAAGCUGGGGGAGGUGGAGGCAGCAGAGCUCGCUUCACCGGCUGUCCAUUGAUCAGUGGAGAGGUUGGUAGACUUAAAAGAUCAGUGUGGAGACUGGUGGAGAGCAGAGAGAGGGUUGGAGAGGAGGAUACUGGGGGUUCUGUAGGAUAUGGCAAACACAGGCAGCCAGGGAUAAGAAGAGGGGAGGUUAGAGAGAGAGAGGGAGAGCUAGAGAGAGAGAGAAAGUGUGUGAUGAGAUAGAGAUUAGAGCAAUGGAGAGAUAAGGAGGCAAAUCACAGCUGCUGGGUUUUACAGUCUGGAUGAAGCCUGCUGGACUGACGAGAUGUCGAAGCAGCAGAUCGGCGCCCUGGCGAAGGGGGUGGAAAACUUCUCGAGCGUCCAUCUGCUGCAGUCAAAAUGGACGCCGCAACAGCCCGCCUGAGGCGGCCAUCUUGGUUUCAGCCUACGAGCGGAGGAACGCUUCGGUGCCGGAAGGCAGAGAAGGAGCCCAAGAGGAAAAUGGCAGUUUUAGCUUGUUUGCACAAAUGCACUUGAACCAGUAAAUGUUCUUUUUAGUUUGCCAACUUUCUUUGUUUGAUUGUUUUGGUGUCAUUUCUGUACAUUUUCCCCUGAGAAGCUAAGGGUAGCAUAAACAAUGACGCUGAAAUAAUUAAGCAAAUCUAAAGCCAUGCUACUAACAAGUCAAAAAUAUUUUACUAAUUAUAAAUGUAUAUACACACACACACACACACACACACACACACACACACACACACACACACACACACAGGAGAUGUACUCAGUAAUGAGAUUAUUUUAAAGGCCUACACACCAUAGUCCUGUGAACCAUAAGUGUCUGCAAACAAGAUUUAAUUGCCAUGGUGUUUUGAAAAAUAAAAACUAAACUAAGCUAAAUGAACUUAAGAAAACAAAUUCAACAUGGGCAGACAAAGAUUCAUAAUUAUUUAUUUGACAUUUACUAGGAGACUUUACAGAGUUCUCUAUAUAUUAAGUUAAGUAAAAGUUGGCAGAGCAUUUAUGAGGGAAGGUGCGUAUGGGGAAACAGCUUCUGUCUGAAGGUAGAAACUCUUUACUUUUCCUUUACAUUUAAAAGGGCAAUGUUAGUGUUUUAAUGACAUAGUGAAAUGUUGUGGACUGUGAUAACCUUCCUGUCCAAAGUUUGUUUGAUUGUUUAUGAACUAUAAUAUAUCAACAGUGCAAAUUGCAACACAGCUAAAAUUACAUGGAUCCUGCAAAUUUGCCCUAUUCUGUCAGUGUGAUGUUUAGUGCCUCCUCCUCAUUUCCUCUGCUGGAAGAGAUGUGCGCGUCGGGCGGCCAUUUUGGCUCCAAACUGGAGCAGUAGAACCACAGGGCACCCAGUGGUUGCUCAGUAGUCAGUGUAGAUCCUGUGGGGCUGGCAGCAGCUACAUCUGGCUACUGGGUCUCCGCUGGCAGCCGUGUUGCACAGGACAGAUGACGACGAUGAUGAAAUACAGGAUUAUUGCACGAUUUAAUUUUGUUAAAUGUGUGUUCUCAAACAAAAAGGUUUGGAUUUUUUUGGCAUGAAAUUAGUUACUGCCAGUGCUUUCAGUAGUUUGUUUCUUUGUGAUCUUCACAAUGCAUUUUUAAAGCAACGAACCCUUUAUGAAAGACAAGCUGAACUCAUGUUUUGAGAUACAGAGUAAGUCCUGGACCUGGCAUACAGUGUAGGAUUCUGUGUGUCAGUCUACAGCUACAUUGUCUGCUGGGUUUCAGGUCUGUACUCGCACACGAUUUGGAAUGUGGAGUGUGCAUUGUUCCUAUUUCUGUAACUUGUCAAACAAAUGAAUGAGAAAUCUGUAAUGUCCGAGGAAUGAAAACACGUGGCUACUUUGACAACUUUGUGUUUAUUGACUCAUCAUAAAACAUUCUUCAAACAAUAAAACAAUUUUAAAUGUU